CCUAGGAGUGGGGGUGAAGGGACCAGAACCGGGUGUGGAUUCUGUCCCCUUCCCGCCCCGCGCACACUCAGGUGCUCUGCCCGGGAGGGCCUCUGCCUGUGCCGGCCCAUCUCCGCGGCCGCCGCUGCCAGGAGCCCCAGGCUGGGUACUUCUGCGCUGCCCUCGACCAGGCCGUCGCCGAAGCUGAGCUCGGCCAGGGCCUCCAGCCCACUGACCCUCGGCUGCCUGUGAGGGGCCAGGGGCCGGGGGCAGGAGGGACUCCAGGCUCAGACCUUGGGGCUCGGGGUGGGGAAUAUCCAGAGAGAGCUGGUUGGAGGGAGAGGCGGGCAGGCUGGGAAGGUGAGGAAGUGGGGUGUCGGCAUGUCGGAGGUUUGGUGUCUUUGGAGCCCAUAUUCCCAGGACAGUGUGGAGAGGACAGGGCCAGAAUGCUGAAGGACACUGGCCCCCACUUGUCCCCAGGGAGCCCCCAGGCCUGCUCUUCCCCCCUGUGCCCCAGCCUCAGGGGCCUCCCCGGAUUGGCUCCGGUCCCGACUGCGGAGGCAGCGUGACCCUCGGGCGUGACCCUCGGUGCGCCCUGCAGCCUGCCGGGCGAGCCCGCUCCAGCCGCCAGCCGCCCGAGGGAGGAGCCUGCGGAGCAGGGUAAAGCCCCGGGCCAGGCUCUCCUGGGGAAGGGCCCAGCCUGGGUCGGGGUCUCUGGGGUCUUGGGGAAGGGAACCCAAGUCCUGAGGGCGGGCUCGAGGUCCUGGGGGCCUGGGCCUGGGAGUCUGUGUCCUCCCCAGGCCCCCGAGGCGCCCGGGGCCCUGCCCCUGGGAGCUGGCCCCCGCUGGGGCCUGGCUCAGGCUUCGCCCGCGUGGCAGAUGGGGCCGGCCUCUCUGCUGGCUCCCGCCGUGCCUCGUGCCCUGGAGUAUGACGUUGUCCUGCACUGUGAGUCCAGGCACCUGAAGACUGGCAGGCGUUAGUCAGGGUCCACGCCCAGUCUCUGCCCAGCAGCACUCGCUGUGCCCACCCACUGCCCCCAGAGCAGCUGUUCCAGGCCACCUGACCCACACGCACAGAGCUGUGGUGCUCCCAGACCUUUCUGCUUUGAGCCGGCACACGCUACUCCGUGACCCUGCGGCUGUGGCGGACCAAAGGGGUGCGAAGGCCUGAGGGGGCAUCAUCCUCUGGACUCGAUUGUGCUCCUGCCCUGGGUGAGGGAGCUGCCUGGGCUGCGGUUGGUGGACCCCGUGGCCGCAGGGCGCCUGCAGGAGCUCCAUGCCGCCGGCUGCCUGGAGGCCGCCAGGACCGGCCGCUCCAGCUCCGCGCCCGCCGCCUGUGCCCACCGGGCCUGCAGCAUCUCGGCCCUGCUCCAUGGCGGCGGCCUC